GGCGCAGGGAGGCACGGGGUUCUCCAUGGGAACGCUUGCUCUGGCCGCCGCCGCAGCCGGACCCCCGCUCAGCAGCCCACCAUGACCGCGCCCUGACUCAGCCUGCUCAAGGUCGACUGUUCCUCUGGGGCCCUAGCUGCACGGACUUUUCCUGGCCCGAGAUCAAAUUUCACUUUUGUGUGCACAGUUCCUCUGGCUCACACACGGCUCCCCUCUCCCGCAAGGAGGAGUGUGUCGGUCCUGUGUGCACUCUCAGCUGAACUUCUGGAGGGCAGGCACGUCAGCGUUGGCUAGCCCAGUGCCAGGGUCUCAGUGGCUGCUUCUCCAGGCCGGUGCACGGAUGCUUCCCUGCAGAAAUGUAACGGUAACCUCCAUGGCACAUUCCCUGUAUGCAAGGCAGUGUCCAGACGCAUGGAAAUGCCGGGUUAGGAAAUGCUGAGUGAGCUGAAGCCUGGCCUGCGGGGUGUGUGGGUCGUGGAGGAGGCCAGCAGGACCAACACGCUCUGUGUUUACUCAGCUGUGGCCCAGCCCCGCUGCGAUGCCAUCCGAACUGUCCCGAGCCGCCAUGCCCAGCAAGGUGGCCGUGAACGCUAGCGCACAGCGAGGGAGGGCGGCGACGCGCUGGAACGCUGGGAGUAGCCUAUACAGCAAAGCUCAUGGCAUCGUCCCAAGGACGCAGCGGUGCUUUCUCAGUCGGCGAGGAGAUUUCCAGCAGAGGUGGUUUGACUCCGUCCCACUGACGCCUCUUCACCAGGCGCCCCGUGCGCCCCGGCUGGGAUUAGAGCCAGUCACGCCAGCCUCCCUGCGAUGGAGCCGAGACAGCCCCUCCCAGCUCAGCCACACGACCAGCCCUACGCCCAGCAACCAGGUUUGCUCCAGGCAGAGUCCAGCACAUAGCUGGCCUUCCCCGUGCCUCGUUCAGCAGUGCACGGCCUCAGGUCGGCUCUCUGCCUGCAGUGACACAGCAGCCUUCGAGCUGAACAGAAGGAGAAAGGGCCCUGCCUCAGUGGAUCAGGGAGCAGAAGUCAAAGGAAAGCUUGUCUUCAGCAGAACAAAAGGAAGCCAACACACAGAGCAAAACCUAGGAGCUGGAUCAAGCCAUGCUUACAGCCAGCUUCACCCUGGGGCUUCUGAGGUAUGUGAGCUAAUAAAUUCCAUUUGUAACGUAAGCUAACUUGUGUGGGAUUCCCAUCCCUGGAAACU
rnacentral:lncRNA from 1 species